rnacentral:rRNA from 1 species
UACAGGGGGGGCAAGCGUUGUUCGGAAUUACUGGGCGUAAAGGGUCUGUAGGUGGCCAACUAAGUCAGACGUGAAAUCCCUCAGCUUAACUGGGGAACUGCGUCUGAUACUGGAUGGCUCGAGUGUGGGAGAGGAAUGCGGAAUUCCAGGUGUAGCGGUGAAAUGCGCAGAUAUCAGGAGGAACACCGGUGGCGAAGGCGGUUCUCUGGGCAUGUCCUGACGCUGAGGAGCGAAAGUGUGGGGAGCGAACAGG